rnacentral:rRNA from 1 species
ACGGAAGGCAGCAGUGGGGAAUAUUGCACAAUGGGCGCAAGCCUGAUGCAGCGACGCCGCGUGAGCGAAGAAGUAUUUCGGUAUGUAAAGCUCUAUCAGCAGGGAAGAAAAUGACGGUACCUGACUAAGAAGCCCCGGCUAACUACGUGCCAGCAGCCGCGGUAAUACGUAGGGGGCAAGCGUUAUCCGGAUUUACUGGGUGUAAAGGGAGCGUAGACGGCGCUGCAAGUCAGAUGUGAAAGGCUGGGGCUUAACCCCGGGACUGCAUUUGAAACUGCAGUGCUCGAGUGCCGGAGAGGUAAGUGGAAUUCCCAGUGUAGCGGUGAAAUGCGUAGAGAUUGGGAGGAACACCAGUGGCGAAGGCGACUUACUGGACUGUAACUGACGCUGAGGCGCGAAAGUGUGGGGAGCAAACAGGAUUAGAUACCCUGGUA